GAUCCUUAAUUAUAGUUUAAAUCUGAUCUAAGAUAUGUUUAGAAGAUUAAAAUAUUUAAUUUUUUAUUAUUUUACUAUAAAAUUUUAAAAAUACAUGCUUUGAACUAUCUAUUUUUUCUUCAAGGAUCGGCCCCGAUUUUAGCCAGAAAUGGGGUAAGAUACUUCUUGACCUUUAUAGAUGAUUUCUCAAAGAAGGUAUGGGUCUACUUCAUGAAGAAGAAAUCAAAAAUCUUCACCAAAUUCAAAGUAUGAAAAGUUGAGGUAGAGAAGG
rnacentral:lncRNA from 1 species